GGAGAAAUGGCAGAGUGGUUUAAUGCAUCUGACUUGAAAUCAGAAAAAUUUAAAAUUUCGUGGGUUCAAAUCCCAUUUUCUCCUU
rnacentral:tRNA from 1 species